CGCUCAGUCCCUGCAGGGCAGCCAGCCUGUCCCGGGCACUGCCGGUCAGCUCGGCCAGCGCCUGCGGUUGGAGGAUGCUUUAGAACCAGGUUUACCGUCAGGAACAAACUGGAGAAAGCACGCAGACUGCUGGUCGCCGUCCGGCUGGCCCCUGCUCGGGGAGCAAUGGCAUCGGUGCCUUCCAUCGGUUGCCUCCUGGCCAGAAAUCAGUAUUAUCGAAAGGCCAGCGUUUCUUCAGCUGCCUCGGAGUCUGUGAGCUUCACAGAUGAUGACAAGGCCCAGCAAGGGCGACCUGAGGUGGCAGGACCCACGCGGUGGUUCAGGUCCUUUUUCCAACCCGAGUCUGUGCAGUCGGACGUGGAGCGAGAAGGCCCGGCCGCGGGUGAGCGCGAGGCUUUUCUGAGAAGGGCGGUUCCUUCUCGGAGUGAAGCAGCGCGCGUCGUAGCUACCGCGGCAGCGGGCGCGGGUAGGGCAAAGCUGCUCCCGGAAGGGGGUGACGGCCCUGGGGCAGGGGCGCGAACAGUCUGUCACCCAGUCGCCGUCAGUCAGAUCUGAGCGCUGUU